rnacentral:rRNA from 1 species
UACGUAGGGUGCGAGCGUUAAUCGGAAUUACUGGCGUAAAGCGUGCGCAGGCGGUGUGUAAGACAGAUGUGAAAUCCCCGGGCUCAACCCUGGGAACUGCAUUUGUGACUGCACAGCUGGAGUGCGGCAGAGGGGGAUGGAAUUCCGCGUGUAGCAGUGAAAUGCGUAGAUAUGCGGAGGAACACCGAUGGCGAAGGCAAUCCCCUGGACCUGUACUGACGCUCAUGCACGAAAGCGUGGAGG